CAGAGGCCACCUAUUGGACGAUUCACAUCGUUACGUACCUGUAAUCAUCCCUCAACGGGUCCUCCAUCCACUUUUAGGCGCGUCAGAAGACCCUCUUACCAAUGCGGAGCGCAGGAGAUGAGGACCGCUAGUUUAGAAUUUUAUUGUGAACGAUAAACCCCCCAAGACCAUCACGAUAUCUGCACCUAUCUUAUAUCCGGUUAACCAGACGCAAACAACAAACUCUCGACGAAACAGCUUCCAUUUCCGUUUUAUAUACGUCUAUAUACCACCGCGGGAAAGCAAAGGCUGAUCGUGACGUCGCGUCGGAAUGUCUGCGGAAAACCUCUGCGUCGCAGUUUCCUGGAUAAUGCCGGAAAAUUGAAGCAAUUUUCAAAGACACGAUCCUGCAGAACGAUUCCAGAAGGAUCUUAUGUCCUUAUUUGCUGCGAAACGUAUGUGUGUCGAAUUCGUGUAUUAAUAAAAUUACGUUCCUCUACGCCCGGUGGCUGCUUGACAAACCAUA